GCGUAAAAGCUCGUAGUUGGAUUUCUGGCAGGAGCGGCCGGCCACGCGCUCUGCGCGUGAGUUUGCGCUGUCUCUGGCCAUCCUCGGGGAGAUCGCGUUUGGCAUUAAGUUGUCGGGCGUGGGAUACCCGUCGUUUACUGUGAAAAAAUUAGAGUGUUUAAAGCAGGCUUAUGCCGUUGAAUAUAUUAGCAUGGAAUAAUAAGAUAGGACUUUGGAACUAUUUUGUUGGUUUGCGUUACGAAGUAAUGAUUAAUAGGGACAGUUGGGGGUAUUCGUAUUUCGUUGUCAGAGGUGAAAUUCUUGGAUUUCCGAAAGACGAACUACUGCGAAAGCAUUUACCAAGGAUGUUUUCAUUAAUCAAGAACGAAAGUUAGGGGAUCGAAGAUGAUUAGAACAUUUCCGUAAUCAAGAAGUUCUUAGACCGCUCAAAGACGAACUACAGCGAAGGCAUUCUCCAAGGAUACCUUCCUCAAUCAAGAACCAAAGUGUGGAGAUCGAAGAUGAUUAGAUACCAUCGUAGUCA
rnacentral:rRNA from 1 species